UAGGGAAUCUUCGGCAAUGGACGAAAGUCUGACCGAGCAACGCCGCGUGAGUGAAGAAGGUUUUCGGAUCGUAAAACUCUGUUGUUAGAGAAGAACAAGGACGUUAGUAACUGAACGUCCCCUGACGGUAUCUAACCAGAAAGCCACGGCUAACUACGUGCCAGCAGCCGCGGUAAUACGUAGGUGGCACGCGUUGUCCGGAUUUAUUUGGCGUAAAGCGAGCGCAGGCGGUUUCUUAAGUCUGAUGUGAAAGCCCCCGGCUCAACAGGGGAGGGUCAGUGGAAACUGGGAGACUUGAGUGCAGAAGAGGAGAGUGGAAUUCCAUGUGUAGCGGUGAAAUGCGUAGAUAUAUGGAGGAAAACCAGUGGAGAAGGCGGCUCUCUGGUCUGUAACUGACGCUGAGGCUCGAAAGCGUGGGGAGCAAACAGG
rnacentral:rRNA from 1 species